GCAGGUGCGAAAGCAGGUCUUAGUGAUCCGGUGGUUCUGUAUGGAAGGGCCAUCGCUCAACGGAUAAAAGGUACUCCGGGGAUAACAGGCUGAUACCGCCCAAGAGUUCACAUCGACGGCGGUGUUUGGCACCUCGAUGUCGGCUCAUCUCAUCCUGGGGCUGAAGCCGGUCCCAAGGGUAUGGCUGUUCGCCAUUUAAAGAGGUACGCGAGCUGGGUUUAGAACGUCGUGAGACAGUUCGGUCCCUAUCUGCCGUGGGCGUUGGAGAUUUGAGAGGAGCUGCUCCUAGUACGAGAGGACCGGAGUGGACGAACCUCUGGUGUUCCGGUUGUCACGCCAGUGGCACUGCCGGGUAGCUACGUUCGGACGGGAUAACCGCUGAAAGCAUCUAAGCGGGAAGCCUCCCUCAAGAUGAGAUCUCCCUGGGCACUUGAUGCCCCUAAAGGGCCGUGGAAGACCACCACGUUGAUAGGCGGGAUGUGGACGCGCUGUGAGGCGUGAAGCUAACCCGUACUAAUUGCCCGUGCGGCUUGACCAUAUAAC
rnacentral:rRNA from 1 species